ensembl:lncRNA TP53TG1 TP53 target 1
GACGUCGGGGGCGAGCCGGGCCUGCGCGGUAGUGGGACCCGACCCUGUCUCCAGUGGGCGUCUUGGGCCCCGGCUCUAUUCUGGGCUGCGGGCCUGGGAAGGGCUCGCCGGGUGCCAAAUGAGCUGUCCUAACUCUGCGGGGCUGCAGCUUCCUGCAUGAUGCUGGGGAGCUUGGCGCCUGACCCAGGAUCUAGAAGGCACUCUGGGCAGGCCGCGCUCCGCCCACGAAGGUACCCAACCCUCUGGGAUAGAUGCAGGAAGCGAUGGUUAAGACCCAUUUUCACCCAACUUCUCGCCGCAGGUCUGGCUUACCACACGCUCCUCCCCAUUCCCAGUGAGCCGCUUUUUGCAGCACCAGGCGAACACUUACACCAGUGCUUUGUAAAGGAAUCUUAUUGUCCACCCCGUGUCUUGGCAAAAGAACAGUGAUCACACAGAUUCCUACUUGGGCUCUUUCCUUUAAUCUUCGGAGGCUGAGUUUGCCCAACUCAGGUUUAACCACCAAGGACUCUGAGAGCUGGCAGGUCUGAGUAACCCUGGUAACAAUUCUCUUCACCUUAUCAAAACCUGAGCUAAAACCAAUGCAUCAGCUGAUGAUGACAGCAGAGAGUGGCAGGGCUGAGGACCCAAAGUCAUUUCCCAGGCUGGCGGAGACUCAAGCUAAGCUAUUGCUCACCGUCACAGGCUAGCCGCUGACUUCCACCCCUCUGGAUCCAGCAGGGUGUCUGCUGCACUUCUGAUCCAGUGAGACGCCCAUUGCCACUCCCAACUGGGCUAGAGGCUCGCCAUUGUUCCUGCACGGCUAAGUGCCCAGAUAAACUGCCAGGGAGAAGAAUGAGAAGACAGGAGACAAACUGUUUGGAAAGCUAAAUCUUCCCUCUUAAUGAAUAAAGGUUUUUGCCUUGUCUUAAAGUUUCUGAGUCCUAAUUUUGGCAAAAUAAAUAACUUAUGGUAAUCUGGAAUUGUAUUUUGUAAUAUUAAGUGUUUUGAACCUCUAACAUUUACUUCCCAAAAUCAAACUUCAGUUUCAAAAUUGUCUCUCUUGACCCCUAGCUUUUGGAUGCUACAGAAGGCCCCUGAAGCAUCCAGAAGAGAGGUAAACAGGAUUAUUUAACAUGUUUAGGUACAUGGGAUUGGCCAAAUG